UAGUGUUAUUCGUGAUGACUGGGCGUAGGGUACGUAGGCGGAUAAUUAAAAAUAUAGUAAAAAACUGAGGAUGACCCUCUUUAAUCUAUAUUCACUGAUUAUCUUGAGUUUCAAAGGCGGUUUAUUGAAUUCUUGAAGGAAGGGUGAAAUUGUUGAUAUUGGAAGACAUUCGAUAGCGAAAGCAAUAACCGAUUUGGAUCUGACGUUAGGUACUAAAGUAUGGGGAUAAAUAGGAUUAGAGACCUAGUAGUCCAUACCUUAAAACAAUGAGUGUUCAACAUCUUUUAUGCUUUUUUCAGAAAUGAAAAGGGCAAUCUGGGGUUUAAAGCUAACGCGUGAAACACCGCCUGGGGACUGUGGCCGCAAGGUUAAACUCAAAGGAAUUGACGGAGACUUAUACAAUGUGGUUUAAUUCGAG
rnacentral:rRNA from 1 species